rnacentral:tRNA from 1 species
AUAGCUCAGCGGUAGAGCAUCGCCUUGCCAAGGCGGUUAAAGGGGUUUGGUCAAAUCCUUAUUAGAUAGGCUAAACCCCUU